rnacentral:misc_RNA from 1 species
UAGAAACUGAAAUAUAGGUACCACCAAAAGCCACCAUUUUUUUUUAGUUUUCAUAAAAAGUUACAAGUGCAUAGCCAUUGUGAAAGAGUGGACCAGGAAAACAGAGGCAUUAGCAAUUGCCUUUUAGAGGAAAAAAAUUAUGUAUUUUUUUCCCUGCAAUUGAAUGUGCAUUCUCCCAUUUAAGUCCCAAGGUGAACUUCCAAGUUCCUCUAAG